CACGAACGCUGGCGGCAGGCUUAACACAUGCAAGUCGAGCGCCCCGCAAGGGGAGCGGCAGACGGGUGAGUAACGCGUGGGAAUCUACCCAUCUCUACGGAAUAACGCAUGGAAACGUGUGCUAAUACCGUAUACGUCCUUCGGGAGAAAGAUUUAUCGGAGAUGGAUGAGCCCGCGUUGGAUUAGCUAGUUGGUGGGGUAAAGGCCUACCAAGGCGACGAUCUAUAGCUGGUCUGAGAGGAUGAUCAGCCACACUGGGACUGAGACACGGCCCAGACUCCUACGGGAGGCAGCAGUGGGGAGUAUUGGACAAUGGGCGCAAGCCUGAUCCAGCCAUGCCGCGUGAGUGAUGAAGGCCCUAGGGUUGUAAAGCUCUUUCACCGGUGAAGAUAAUGACGGUAACCGGAGAAGAAGUCCCGGCUAACUUCGUGCCAGCAGCCGCCGUAAGAC
rnacentral:rRNA from 1 species